UUUAAACUAUUAACUCAAACUGAAUCAAUUAAAUUGUGAAAUGGUCACUAAGCUACAUUCUAAAAAUCAGAAUGGUUGAACAAUUAUAACCUCUGAUCCAUGAAAUUAUAGAAAUGAAUUGUACAUGACAUUUAAACUUGUGAUAUACUUUGUGGACGGUUUCUUUUGGAUUUUUUUUUUUUUUUUGAAAGAUAUAAUGAGAUGGAUUUUUUUUUUUUCUUAAAAAGUUAUAAUGCGAAGGUUUUUCAAUCAAAAGGAAAUGCAAAACCAUUCCUUUUAUCAACAAAUCUCAACAGAUCUCAGGUAUUUUAUUUUUAAAAAGAAAAAUCUAACUCCCCCUCUAUGGAAAAUCAAGAAAAAAUAGAUGAUUACACAGAAAACAACCAAUAGAUUUUUUUUUUUUAAAGAUAUAAUAUGACAAUUUUUUUUAUCAAUUUCAUGAUAUCUCUCAAAAUAUGAUUGUUUAUGAAUUGGUUUAAUUUUUUUCCACAUUACAAAAAUCAAAAUUUGAAAGCUCUCAAAAUCUGCUUGUUUAUGAAAUGGGUUUUUUUUUUCACAUUACAGAAAUCAAAACAUGAAAACUCUCAAAAUCUGAUUGUUUAUAAAUUGGGGGGUUUUUUCCACAUUGCAGAAAUCAGAAUAUGAAAACUCUCAAAAUCUGCUUGUUUAUGAAUUGGGUUUUUUUUCGCAUUACAAAAAUCAGAAUAUAAAAACUCUUGACUAGAUUUGGCUUGUUGUUUUUGUUGUUGUGGUUAGCAAUAUCAAUGCCAUUUUGUUGUUGGGAGAAUCCAUAUUCUGCUCCCACUUCAUGGAAACCAUGUACUAAGUGACGAAAUGGUGGAACUUCAGAAACAGUCUGGCAAGCGGGAGCUGCAGAUACCAGAAGACCCUGUGGCCAAGCAAUCUCACAGGUGGCCUGUUGGGUUUGUCAAGACAUGAUUUGUUCAUGGAAGCACCAAGCCAGUGGCAGAAGCCUUCUGUGAGGCGGCAUUGCUUGCUCGGCUGAGAGGAGAGCAGUGGAGUGAGAUGCAAGAGAAGGGGAGGCCUGAGAUUUUUGUGUUGGUAAGGAAUCUGAGGUCUGCCACCUAUCGGCUUGCCCUUGCAACUAUUGUAGUGGAACAGCAGGUGGAAGACAUGGAGUUCACGCAGAAGCUCUUAAUUUGGAGAAAAUUGUGCUUCAAACAGUAGCAGAAGUUGUAGAGGACUGGAGAAUAGAUGAUAUAAGCGGGCUUUUGGGUCAUAAUUUUAAAGCCAACAUGCUUGACAAAAAAGUCUCUCUUUUGAGUGGUGAUGAGGUAUAUGAAAUGUCUUCUACCAUGCUAUUUUUUAUUAUGCUUGUUUGGCUAUAUUAGGCUAUGUGGCUGCAUGGAAAGUUGUAUUGCUAUAAACAAUUGUAGCAUGGAAAAUGGACAUUCAUGUGCAUUUGUAGUCUGAUAACAUUAAAUAGACCAUUAACUGUUUUAUUGGUAGUGCUGAUUAGUCUUGAUGAAUGUUAAAUGGGUGA